rnacentral:rRNA from 1 species
UACGGAAGGCAGCAGUGGGGAAUAUUGCACAAUGGGCGCAAGCCUGAUGCAGCCAUGCCGCGUGUAUGAAGAAGGCCUUCGGGUUGUAAAGUACUUUCAGUCGUGAGGAAGGUGUUAAGGUUAAUAACCUUAGCAAUUGACGUUAGCGACAGAAGAAGCACCGGCUAACUCCGUGCCAGCAGCCGCGGUAAUACGGAGGGUGCGAGCGUUAAUCGGAAUUACUGGGCGUAAAGGGCACGCAGGCGGUUAAUUAAGUUGGAUGUGAAAUCCCCGGGCUAACCUGGGAAUGGCAUUCAAGACUGGUUAGCUAGAGUCUUGUAGAGGGGGUAGAAUUCCAUGUGUAGCGGUGAAAUGCGUAGAGAUGUGGAGGAAUACCGGUGGCGAAGGCGGCCCCUGGACAAAGACUGACGCUCAUGUGCGAAAGCGUGGGGAGCAAACAGGAUUAGAUACC